rnacentral:sRNA from 1 species
UAUACUUCCAGGGUAGCGGCUACACACUU